GUGUGUUCCUCAGACGUGGUAUUUGGCCGCAGAUCUUCAAUUGUACCUUAUCAGCCCGCCGAUCAUAUAUGCUUUGUACAGGAAACCUCGUGUUGGCUUCGUCGUGAUGGGAGUUCUCUUUAUCAUGAGUACGGCAUACGUCGUCAUCGUCGUGGUCCUUAAAGAAUAUCCAAUUGUCCUGCCGCCCACGACUCCUCUGUCCGGUCAACGCCCUGCUGUCGUCCAAGUUUCUGGUACCCCUCAGCCGACUGACCUUCGUCGUCUACCUCGUCCACCUGGUGCCCAUGCUUAUUUUCUUCGGAACACGACAGCAAAGUUUCGACUUCUCGCUUAGCCUCUUGUACUUCCUCUACAUUGGAUUCCUGGCUGCUGCGUACCUGUUGUCCCUGGUCGUGAGCCUGCUGCUUGAAGCGCCUAUCUUCAACGUUGAAAAAGUGCUGUUGGCUGGACGGAUGUGAAAAAAAGAAAAAGCCCUAGCUGCUGUUUUUCCAACAGUAGCCUAGAGAGGCGCCGCCUCGACGUAUAUCAAGCCUACCCUUUAGCGCCGACUGCUGCUGGAUAACACGUCGCCCACGUUUCCCCCAGAUAUGGCCAUUACAUGUUCUGAGUCGUUCAUGAGCGACUGAGAUGCCUCUACCGACUCAGCAGGCUUGCAGCGCAGCGCGCUUGGUGGCAGCUAAUGUCUGAUGAACCAGGUGUCGGAUUAAUAAGAU